rnacentral:rRNA from 1 species
GACGAACGCUGGCGGCGUGCUUAACACAUGCAAGUCGAGCGGUAAGGCCCUUCGGGGUACACGAGCGGCGAACGGGUGAGUAACACGUGGGUGACCUGCCUCUAGCUCUGGGAUAAGCCUGGGAAACUGGGUCUAAUACCGGAUAUGACUCCACGGCGCAUGUUGUGGGGUGGAAAGCCUUGUGUGGCUAGAGAUGGGCCCGCGGCCUAUCAGCUUGUUGGUGGGGUGAGGCCUACCAAGGCGACGACGGGUAGCCGGCCUGAGAGGCGACCGGCCACACUGGGACUGAGACACGGCCCAGACUCCUACGGGAGGCAGCAGUGGGGAAUCUUGCGCAAUGGGCGAAAGCCUGACGCAGCGACGCCGCGUGAGGGAUGACGGCC